rnacentral:lncRNA from 1 species
CUUUUCAGAGUCUCAUGGCCAGCAUCCUGUAUCAUCAGGACCUGGAUUCAAGCAUUCUGCCCCAAGAUCCCACAAGCUGGAAAGCCAUGAUAUUUGAGGACUGAUAUGCUGAAGUCCAGACUGUAUUUGUAAAUAGAUCCUUAAAGAAGGAUAAAACAAAGCUGAUGCAAUCUGAAUGGUAUCCUCAUGAGAUGAGAAGAUCAGGACACAGACAGGACCAGGGGUGACGCUCAUGCACAUAGAAGGCAGCUGUCUACAAGCCAAACAGAAGGACCCCUUGGAAACCAAACCCGCUGACACCUUAGUCUUGGACUUUUGCCCUCUUAAACUUCAAAAAAAUAAAAUUCUGUUGCUUAAG